AACGAACGCUGGCGGCGUGCUUAACACAUGCAAGUCGAGCGGUAAGGCCCUUUCGGGGGUACGACGAGCGGCGAACGGGUGAGUAACACGUGGGUGACCUGCCCUCAGCUCUGGGAUAAGCCUGGGAAACCGGGUCUAAUACUGGAUAUGACUCCAUGACGCAUGUUGUGGGGUGGAAAGCCUUGUGCGGCUGAGGAUGGGCCCGCGGCCUAUCAGCUUUGUUGGUGGGGUGAGGCCUACCAAGGCGACGACGGGUAGCCGGCCUGAGAGGGCGACCGGCCACACUGGGACUGAGGCACGGCCCAGACUCCUACGGGAGGCAGCAGUGGGGAAUCUUGCGCAAUGGGCGAAAGCCUGACGCAGCGACGCCGCGUGAGGGAUGACGGCCU
rnacentral:rRNA from 1 species